rnacentral:rRNA from 1 species
UACAGGCUUAACACAUGCAAGUCCCUUGGCAUCAGGAAGAAAGCUUGCUUUCUUUGCUGGCGACCGGCGCACGGGUGAGUAACACGUAUCCAACCUGCCCUUUACUCGGGGAUAGCCUUUCGAAAGAAAGAUUAAUACCCGAUAGCAUAAUGAUUCCGCAUGGUUUCAUUAUUAAAGGAUUCCGGUAAAGGAUGGGGAUGCGUUCCAUUAGGUUGUUGGUGGGGUAACGGCCCACCAAGCCUUCGAUGGAUAGGGGUUCUGAGAGGAAGGUCCCCCACAUUGGAACUGAGACACGGUCCAAACUCCUACGGGAGGCAGCAGUGAGGAAUAUUGGUCAAUGGGCGCUAGCCUGAACCAGCCAAGUAGCGUGAAGGAUGAAGGCUCUAUGGGUCGUAAACUUCUUUUAUAUAAGAAUAAAGUGCAGUAUGUAUACUGUUUUGUAUGUAUUAUAUGAAUAAGGAUCGGCUAACUCCGUGCCAGCAGCCGCGGUAAUACGGAGGAUCCGAGCGUUAUCCGGAUUUAUUGGGUUUAAAGGGAGCGUAGGUGGACUGGUAAGUCAGUUGUGAAAGUUUGCGGCUCAACCGUAAAAUUGCAGUUGAUACUGUCAGUCUUGAGUACAGUAGAGGUGGGCGGAAUUCGUGGUGUAGCGGUGAAAUGCUUAGAUAUCACGAGGAACUCCGAUUGCGAAGGCAGCUCACUGGACUGCAACUGACACUGAUGCUCGAAAGUGUGGGUAUCAAACAGGAUUAGAUACCCUGGUAGUCCACACAGUAAACGAUGAAUACUCGCUGUUUGCGAUAUACAGUAAGCGGCCAAGCGAAAGCAUUAAGUAUUCCACCUGGGGAGUACGCCGGCAACGGUGAAACUCAAAGGAAUUGACGGGGGCCCGCACAAGCGGAGGAACAUGUGGUUUAAUUCGAUGAUACGCGAGGAACCUUACCCGGGCUUAAAUUGCAGUGGAAUGAUGUGGAAACAUGUCAGUGAGCAAUCACCGCUGUGAAGGUGCUGCAUGGUUGUCGUCAGCUCGUGCCGUGAGGUGUCGGCUUAAGUGCCAUAACGAGCGCAACCCUUAUCUUUAGUUACUAACAGGUCAUGCUGAGGACUCUAGAGAGACUGCCGUCGUAAGAUGUGAGGAAGGUGGGGAUGACGUCAAAUCAGCACGGCCCUUACGUCCGGGGCUACACACGUGUUACAAUGGGGGGUACAGAAGGCAGCUAGCGGGUGACCGUAUGCUAAUCCCAAAAGCCUCUCUCAGUUCGGAUCGAAGUCUGCAACCCGACUUCGUGAAGCUGGAUUCGCUAGUAAUCGCGCAUCAGCCACGGCGCGGUGAAUACGUUCCCGGGCCUUGUACACACCGCCCGUCAAGCCAUGGGAGCCGGGGGUACCUGAAGUACGUAACCGCAAGGAUCGUCCUAGGGUAAAACUGGU